GUGGGGAAUAUUGGGCAAUGGGGGAAACCCUGACCCAGCAACGCCGCGUGAGGGAAGAAGGUUUUCGGAUUGUAAACCUCUGUCCUUGGUGACGAAGGAAGUGACGGUAGCCAAGGAGGAAGCCCCGGCUAACUACGUGCCAGCAGCCGCGGUAAUACGUAGGGGGCAAGCGUUGUCCGGAAUGCCUGGGCGGAAAGGUCGUGAAGGCGGCCGAUUAAGUCUGGAGUGAAAGUCUUGCUUUCAAGGUGGGAAUUGCUUUGGAGACUGGUUGGCUUGAGUGCGGAAGAGGUAAGUGGAAAUCCCAGUGUAGCGGUGAAAUGCGUAGAGAUUGGGAGGAACACCAGUGGCGAAGGCGACUUACUGGGCCGUAACUGACGCUGAGGCGCGAAAGCGUGGGGAGCGAACAGGAUUAGAAACCCGUGUAGUCC
rnacentral:rRNA from 1 species